rnacentral:rRNA from 1 species
AACGAACGCUGGCGGCAUGCCUAACACAUGCAAGUCGAACGGGAUCCUGGUUUCGGCCAGGUGAGAGUGGCGGACGGGUGAGUAACGCGUGGGAACCUGCCCAGUGGUGGGGGAUAACUGCGGGAAACUGCAGCUAAUACCGCAUGAGCCCGCAAGGGGAAAGAUUGAUCGCCAUUGGAGGGGCCCGCGUUCGAUUAGGUAGUUGGUGAGGUAACGGCUCACCGAAGCCUACGAUCGAUAGCUGGUCUGAGAGGAUGAUCAGCCACACUGGGACUGAGAUACGGCCCAGACUCCUACGGGAGGCAGCAGGUGGGGAAUAUUGGACAAUGGGGGCAACCCUGAUCCAGCAAUGCCGCGUGAGUGAUGAA